CAGGUUUUAUUGCAUAUCAAUUUCAUGUAUAAAUUCUUCAUAGCAUUGGAAAGAUUACAUUUGGUAUACAUUGCUAUUCUACAGAAUUAACAUCAGAGUCAUAUCUUUUCAAUGAAAUUUCUCUAAAGUACAUCUGCAAUAAUCACAAGCAUCAAAAGAACUGCAAUUUCAGAAUUGUUCAAUAUUAUUCUACAAUCCUUUAUUGUUUUUCAUUAUGUCUUCUCUGACAAGUCUUUUCUAAGUCUUUCGGGACCACCUGUCCAAACAUCUGUAAGGCAGUCAGAAGUUGAAGUCAAACAUACUAACCUAACCACAUGUACAAUAAGUGCAUCUACGAAUUUCUUUUUUUUUUUCCUUCUUUUCUUUUUUUUUUAAAUUUUUAAUUUUUUUGAUUUGAUACACGUUUCACAAAUGGACAUCAUUAUGACUGCUAACACGUCAUGCACAAUAAAUUUUUUUUUGUUUGCUUUCAAUAAACAUAACAGAGGCGAUAUACAACUCAGAUUUUAACAAAACAAGCACCAUCCAUUUAAACCCAUAUUUUUCAAUGAUUUUUUUUCUUCAGACAAAUGCACCAUGUUUUUCAUUCUUUAAAAUACUAUACAGUUAAAAAGAAACUAUGUAUAUUUUUUACUUUCUCCUGUAACAGCGGGGGCAAACAGCAACCAUCUUCUAUUUUGCUGAAACAUAUUUCAGUGACCACUUGCCAGAAUACGUUCUGAAGCUGGCAAAAUGAAAUACCUAUAUGCCUUCAGUUCCUUUGCUUUACACAGCGCGUACUUAUUACAGUAGUCCAUGACAAGAAUUACUACAAACAGUCAACCUUAAAACUUAAUGACCCAAGUCUUUACAUUUUGUAACCACAAGUUGGAAAGCAAUGCAUUUACCAUGAAUUGAAUCUCAUUCAGUAGAAUUAUAUAAAAAGAAGACAUCUGUCUUUAGAAAACUGAGAUGAUGCAGCAGUCCUAGCAUCACACUACCACCUACUGUCAUGAAGAAAAAUUACAGUGCUUCUGUUAUCCUUACCUCUCCAUGUUGAGCACAACAUGCCCAUCUAGUGAAAGUGAAACCAAAUGUAUCUGUUCUAACAUUCAGGGACCUAAGCAUGAUCAAUUAUUGGCUUGGACCCAUAUGAUUUAAGUGCUAUUUUCAAAAUACAGCAUCAGGCCUAGUUAGAAAAGUCCCAGUAUGCGGAGAGGAACAGUGAUCAACAAUGCCCACGCUCCACCUUUUUGCAGCUAUCUACAGUAAAUUACUCACGCCCCUCCACGGCACAGCUACCUUGUAGACCAUAUGGAAUGAGUUUUCAGUAUGACCUCAGAAGAAGAAUUUCAGAUUAAGAAGUUAUCAAGUGUUUCGGUUUUCCCCAUCCAGCUAGACAGCUAGACAUUUAAUUUGAAUGGACCGACCAGCAGAAUUACGAUGCCCGUUUUAAUACUUUCUGUGGUUUGUUUUUAUCAGUUCUUUUGGUUUAAUGAGUUGUUGUCUUUCUUCUCAAAUAGUCAGUGAUUAUGCCAUGUUCGUGCAGUUGUGGCUGUGUGCGUUUGAAUUUUAGACCGUAUAAAAUUGGACAACUCAUUAAAAAAACAAAAAACAACAGUAUUUGUUGGUUAUAAGACAUGUAUUAAAUCUGAAACAGAUGAAAGGGGGAGCUCGAUGUUGUAGAAACUACUCAGAUUCAAUAGUGUAACAAUGUAAUGCCCUUUUCAUGACAUCCAUAACGAAGGUUGUCCAAGCCUGCCCCCUUUAGUACUUGAACCAUUUUGAACAAGACACAUUCAGCCUACUGGGUAAAAUGGUUCAACUAAAACAAGGAAAUAAAAAGGCUAAACACUGCAGGAUGUUUCAAUGCCAAAUAGGAUCUAAGACUAACUACAGCUAUAUUUCACUAUAAAUAAAAUCAAUUAAUUUCAUGUUUUUUGUUUUUUUUGUUUUAUUUUGUUUUUGUUUUGAUUUUGUAUUUUUUUCUCAUUUUGGCACACUAACCCAUCAAAACCAGAGAUUCUGAAUCUCCCUCAUGUUCUGAUAGUUUACCAUUCCUUCAGCAACAAGAAACGAGGGAUAAAAUGACUUCUUCAUUUUCACUCCCCCUGCCAUGAC
ensembl:lncRNA